ensembl:lncRNA
AAAUCGGUAAGCGAAACGCUUACCGAUCGUCACAAAGCGAAUUUUGGCCAUUUAGACCAUCGGUGUGCGAUCGCAUUAGCGAUCGCUAAAUCCACAUCGCUAUGCGGAUUCGUUAAACGGUGCGCUCGUUAUGCGAGGCACCACUGUACUCUUAACUAGGAUUAAAUACUGUUCAUCAGUACUACCCCGUUUCCCCUAAAAUAAGCCCUAACCUCAAAAUAAGCCCUAGUAUGAUUUUUCAGGAUGCUCGUAAUAUAAACCCUACCACAAAAAUAAGCCCGUUAAGUGAAACCCCGCCCUCUACCCUUGUGCAGCAACCAGAAGAUGACAUGACUGUAUUUGAAUAAAUAUAGAUUGUUGUACAUAAAAAAAAUCCCCUGAAAAUAAGCCCUUAUGCAUUUUUGGAGCAAAAAUUAAUAUAAGGUCCUGUCUUAUUUUGGGGGAAACACAGUAAUAUGUACAAAGGCUUUGAUAGAUGGGGUCAGUAUUUCUCAGGCUUCCCUAACCUGGGCAGCAUAACUUGAAUAUUACGGCCUUAAUCCAGCUGAAAUAGAAAGAAUCAUUGAAUCAGCGGACCUUACCCAAAUGUUAACUUUGGAAAGCUCCUAUUAUUUCAGUUCAUUUUCUCUCUGUCAUUUUCUCUAGUUGGGACCAACAGUUACAUUUACCUAGGUUUAUAUGGCUCUUCAAGGAAAUGCCUAUAUUUAUCAAAAACCCACAACAAAGUAGGAAGUCAUCUUUUGUUUCCUGUUCCAGUUCACAGUAUUCUUAGGUCACAAAAACAUUUAAAGGUCAUAUUCUUAUUGCAGCAGGUGGAUGAACCAGAGUUGUGCAAAAGCCUAUCAGAAAGAGAAUAUCUCAUUCUCUCUGUACCACCAUGUUGAUGACUUAAAAGUCUUUACAGAAGGCCCUUCUUUCCAUUUCUUUGCAGGAACUAGGUUUGCUCUCUGAUGGUGCCCCAUUUCCGGAAUGCUUUCUCCACUGAUUCUUGACUGGUGCUUCAGAAUGAGGUGCAACAUUUGCUUCAGCAAGUGAGAAGGCAUAACCCGAAAUGACCCAAGGCUAUCCACAGGUAGAAUUAGCUUAAACAUUUAUUCAAGUAACAACAGGGAUUAUGCUCCAGAAAAGGAUGGAACAAUGUAAAAGAAAUCAGAGGAAAAUCAAUGAAUUUCAGACAGAAUGCAAUAGAAUGAUUAAAUGAAUAAUGCAAAAUAGAACACAUUCAAAGUAUCAGAUAAAAGAUAGAAAAUGCAAAAUUAGUCACAGUUAGCCCUUUAUAUAGAUUUGGUUUUUGCAGGCAGAAGAUAAGAGGGAAAGAGACUGGGUUAUGCACAUUUUUUUUAAAGUUAAUACUCUGGCCAAAACAGCAGAUUAGGUGAGUCAUGUGAAAACCUUUUUAUCUUCUUCCACUAUUUCAUUUUUUUUUCUCUCAGGCAUAUUAUCUCAGGCUCUCUCGUUCUGGUACCUGCCUUUUGUUAAAUGCCCUAUAACAAGGAAUGCUUUAGAUUUAAUGCAUUGUACCUAAUUUUCUGAAAAGUUCACAAAUAUUCACUUGUUCUCUUAACAUGGGGCUGGCUCGAUUGAGCAAAAUGGGACAAUUAUUCAUGGAGGAAGAAGGGAAAGGAUUGAGAAUAUAUGUUUUUUAACCAGAUAGUUCAAGUUCUAGCUCUUGAUUUCAUCUCUCAGGUGGCAAUGCUGCCUUCUACUCACUGUAUUACAUGAGCACACACACUACAGGGGAAGAUAAAGAGUGUGUGAGAGAGAAACUAGAGCGAGGUUGUGGUCAAGAACAGUGAAUGUAGAAGACAAUGAAUUAGAGGUGAUGGACAGAAGAUGCUGAUGCAGUAAUAUGUUGGGAGGUGACGAGGGCAGAGGCGGAAAAUAAAUCUACCACUUCUUGGGCUGCUGGCA